GGCUGGGUUUCACUUUCAGUUUUCCCUUUCAGCUUGCUGUACAGACUGCUGCCACGCUGGCUGGCUAAGUAACUCUGUACAAACAUAUCUCCAUUUGCAUGCAUGGAAAUCUGCUACUACAAAUGUUUCAGUGGAUGCCACCCUCAGUUGCUACAACACUGGCUCUUGUUCUGCUGAGACUCCUCAUGGAGAUCCACACUCCGACUCUGGCCGGCUGCACUCCCCAGAUUCUGGGGUUCACUCUUUGGCAAUUUCUAUUGCCAGGAAGAGGUCAUUCGCAUUCAUAGAAGUCUUGGCUGAAGUCUCCAUCAAUAACAAGCUAUUGUCAUCUGCAUAUGCCUGUGCCUCUUCAUACUCCACCAUGCUCUUGUUGGCAAGGUCAGCUUUGUUCCCCGCCAAGGCAAUAAAAAUGCUAGAGCUGGCUUGCCGCUGUAGUUCCUUUACCCAUGUCUUUUCCUGGGAAAAAGUUUCCUGAUUAGUAAUAUCAUUGACCACAGUUGCAGCCUGUGCACCCCUGUAGUACAUGGGGGCUAGGCUGUGGUAUCACUUCUGCCCAGCCAUGUCCCAGAUUUCAAAUUUGACUUUUGUGUCAUCUAGACAAACAUAUUGGGUGAGGAAGGCUAGACAUCCCCACUGCAGAUGAUCCCAGCAGGACCAAUUUGACCUGGCAUAUUUAGCUGGCCUGGAGCUGCCCAUUGGGCCUGGCUGUACUUCUGCUAGUCAUAGCCAGGUUAUCAAAGUAGGAAAGGGUAGAGGGAGGGGGAUGCCACAGAUUCAUAUUGAAAUACCAGAGGCAAAUACAAUUUACAUUAAAAACACACAGUCAUAGUUUUAACUUAUUUCUAAUAUUUUCAUCACAUACUUUCUCAAAUUUUCGAGUCAUCAUUACUUGGAAUUUCCUCCUCUGGUAAUUUUAAAAUGUAUAUAUUCCCAGAAGUGCUACAAUCUGCAUCAAGAUGUUAUAUUGUAUCCAUUAAAAUGUUCAUAAAAGCUAAAUGGAAUGAGCAGUGUUUAAUUACUACUUUUUUACAAUAUCCUCACUGAGCACAUAUUGGUCUUGUCUGUGGUUCUCAACCUAUGAGUCACAACCCUUCUGAAAAACCUUUAUUUCCAAAAAUAUUUACAUUAUGAUGUAUAACAUUAGCAAACUUACAUUUAUG
rnacentral:lncRNA from 1 species